GCUUCGUCAAAAUUUUGUUUUAGCUAUAAACAACAGAACGAGCCUUUUUAUUGUGAAAACACUGACGUUUGCGAAGCAUCUACGGCUCCAUUUGUUAAUAAUGAUAUCAACAAAUCGGUAAUACUGAUUUUGCAAGAAGCCAAAGUAGCCACGUAAAGAAAUAUACAAGAAUCAAGUCAACUAGUCACGUCUCCAGUUUGAUGCGAAGACGCCUGUUACCCUGUUACCGCUUCUACUACCGCUUAUAUGACACUCUUUGUAAAAUGAAGUUUGGAAAACUGCUCGUCCAAUUAUUCCUAAUUUAAUAUUUGAUGAUAAAAUUAAUGAACAUUCAAUGAUGCAUUAUGCAUAAGGUUUAUGCCAGGUGGUAUCGAAUAAAAUAUUCCAUCGUAUUUUAUUUUGCAUGUGUUUAUGCAUGGACAACAAUGCAAAAUCUAUAUUGUCUUGUUUCUUUUCGCCUUUCAAAGUCAGUUUAGACAACUAAAGACGACAUUUUGUUUGAGGAAUUAAAUAUGGGCAUCGAGGAGCAUUUCCGCCUCCGAAAUUUUAGGAAAAAUUGCUUUAUUAAAUCACGAUGAAGGUGAUAUUGUUCAACAUCCAGCGGCGUCAAGUCAAAGAACAAACUGAAAGAUUGUAUCGACUUAAAUGGUACGAGAUGGUUGAUGAAAUUUAGUAUCAUUGCAAAAAUCUAUCAUCGGUUAUUAGCGAAAAGCUGACAAGCAAGCCCAUUGAAAAUAACUGCACUAUGUCUCACAAAUUUCUCCCAUCGUCGACCCAAACAAGAUGAAGGAUACCGGUUACUUAUGCGGAAAGUUUUGUCAACAACAUCACGACAAAGAAGACUUUCAAGCUAAAAUUUUGUUGCUUUUUGUUAAAGGUAGCGUAUCUAUAUCUAUGUAAUCUGAAAAUAAAGUUAUUUAGUUGCAUUAGAAUGAAGCAAAUGCUGAUGUUCAAUGUGCGAUAGGCUUUGUGAAAGAUGGCGAAGAUGCUUGCAUAGACUGCGGUCAAGCAUAUGUUGUAGUUGUUUCUCACUGCAGCUUUUUGUCGUGUCAAAAUACUGGAUACUUUUCUAUUUAAUUUUAUCAACAAUAUUUGUCUGAAUCAUUUAAUACAUGGGAACAUGAAUGCUUCACUGAAUUGGACUUUGUGUUUCAUGAAAUAACUCGAUGUUUGUAAUAGUUCAAUUUCAAAGACUCGUGAAAUAAAACAAUUUCAUUUUGUAUGACAGUAA